rnacentral:rRNA from 1 species
UACAUAGGGAGCAAGCGUUAUCCGGAAUUAUUGGGUGUAAAGGGUGCGUAGACGGGAAUGUAAGUUGGCUGUGAAAUCCCUCGGCUUAACUGAGUGAAUUGCAACCAAAACUGUAUUUCUUGAGUACUGGAGGGGAAAGUGGAAUUCCUAGUGUAGCGGUGAAAUGCGUAGAUAUUAGGAGGAACACCGGUGGCGAAGGCGACUUUCUGGACAGUAACUGACGUUGAGGCACGAAAGUGUGGGGA